rnacentral:tRNA from 1 species
UGUGGCUUAGUGGUGGAGCACUUGCCUAGCAUGCAUGAGGCACUGAGUUUGAUUCUUAGCA